CCAGUAAAUGGACGUCCAGUCGA
rnacentral:siRNA from 1 species